UUAUUUGGUGGAUGGUAUUAUGAGAUGUUAUGCAUGACGUAUGCAGUAUGCUAAUGCAAAAGGAUUAAUUAUUUUCGUCUUUCUCUAAGGUUUUUUGUUUUUUCUCUUAUUCUUUCUUUUUUUUCAUUUUUUUGUUUCCAUCUCUUUUUCAUUCUUUUCUUCUUUCUUCUCUUUUCUCGCCUCCCCUAUCAUGUUUUGGCAUGUAACAGGUGAUCGAGGUACUCCCGCAAAAUUUUGCAAAGUCAAAUGAGGUGUCUUACUGGGGAUAUACGAUUUUCUCGCACAACAGGUAGCAACGGCUCC
rnacentral:lncRNA from 1 species